AAUUAAAUCACAAUAAUGGACCAACCCAUUAUACAAUUAAACAUUGUAGUCCAAUUUAUCAUACCCAGCCCAACCCGGAUCCAAUAUUAACAACAAAUAUAAUCAGUGAAUUCCCUAAAAUAGAUAACUUUCCUAGUCCCUAAAUCAUUCACGUCGCCUUUCACCAUUUUACUCUCUUUCUUCGAAUCUGGUUCAAUUGUUACUCUGGAGCUUUUUGUCGACGCUUCUCCUUCAGAUUCACCUUCUGCUAUGUAUGAGACUCGAAACAAUAUUUUUUAGCAUCUCUGAUGGCUCUAUUCAACAAGGUUAAACUGUUACUCCAGAUCUGGACACUCUAACGAUAAGGGAAGCCUGGAUCUCAAAGAAUGUAUGUUCUGCUUUACAAUCAGGUUUCCAAUAGCUUAUCUGAAAUAGCUAAAUGAGAGAUCCCUUCAAGCACCAUUAUGUCAUCUGUUUCUCCAUGCCACAACUGCAUUUGCUUCUUUUUUUCAUCCUUCUUCAAACCUUCAUUGGUACCAUCCUUCAGUUUCUCUAUUCUGUUUUGAGUACUCUCAUCCUGCUGAAUAUCCCUUUAUUGUUCUCUUUUUCCUUGUCACUCCUAUUAUUUGUUGGCUCCCCUUUUUCCACUUCUGGAGUCUUUCCAAAACUUUGGUUAACCCAAUCAUUAGUACUGCUACUUGGCCUUCCUUCUGUUUCUCUGUGUCUGCAAUUGCUGAAUCAGUCACUUCUUCUUGAUCUUCUUUGUCCUUUAAGGAAUUAAAAGAAUUGGACAUUUGAAUAUCCUCAUCAUUAUUUUCAUUUACCUCUUCUAUAAUCCGACGAGACCUAUCCUUUCUAAAUUUAUUCUUCCUUGUAAGCCACUGAUACUUAUUGUUGUUUUCUCUUCUGAAUUUAUUCUGAUGCUGAGGUUGCUGAUUCUUUUGUUCACCAAAAUCCUUAUUCUUAGUAUUUUUUUCUGUCUCCUUACUCCUCUCCUUCUUCUUUUCAUAUAAUUUUGGGUGAAUUUUCCAACAACUUCCCUCAUUAUGCCCUUGUAAACAACAAUCUUGACAAUACUUAGGCAUAUAAUCAUACUGGAUCUUUAUCCAUUUAAACUUUAUUUCCCCAGUAAGAUCAUUCUCUUCAUUUAUUUGUAUCCUUUGUGGCAAUGUUGCAAGUAAAUCCACCUACAUUUUAACUCAUGCACAACCAGGCCUAGUGUGAUUUUUAGUAGCCAUAUCCACUGUGAGUGGCCUCCCUACUGCUGCUGCUAUUGAGAAGAUUGCAUUUUUUGCAAAGAAAUUUGGAGGAAGAUCUGGCAUUGAAAUCUAUGCUACUGCUAUUGAAGUUUCAACAUCGGCCUCAAACCAUGGAUCCCACUUCAGAGUUCUCAUUUGCCAAUAUCUCUCCUUCGAAUUAAUGUAAAAGGCUAUUGUUGAUAAUAAUUGAACAUAAUCUUAUAGCAUCUCUAGCCUUAUUAAUACAUGUCUUUCAUCCAACAUGCCUAUAAUGCAUUGACCUUUGAUUCCACACCGAUUUGGAAUCAUUUUUCUCGACGUGAGGCUUGCCAUGCAAAAAUUUACCUAUAAUUGCAUAUUGAAGUUUUUCUUGUAUUAUUAAGUUUUGAACUUUGGAUGAUUUCCACGUAAUAUUUCGGUGGGAUAGUCAUACCGUCCAAAGUGUGUAUCAGUAAUACAAAUCUCAUCCUAAUGCACAAGUCUUAUUUCGAUA